rnacentral:rRNA from 1 species
CGCCUGUUUAUCAAAAACAUGUCUUUAUGAAGUUGUAUAAAGUCUAACCUGCCCAUUGAAUUUUUUAAAGGCCGCGGUAUUUUAACUGUGCAAAGGUAGCAUAAUAAUUAGUUUUUUAAUUGAAAACUUGAAUGAAAGGUUGGACAAAGAAAAAUCUGUCUUUAAUAUUUUUAUUGAACUUUACCUUUAAGUGAAAAGGCUUAAAUAAAUUUAAGGGACGAUAAGACCCUAUAAAUCUUUACAUUUUACUAAACUUUAAAACUAGAAAUAAAUUUAUUUAAAAGCUUAAGAAAUAAUGUUUUAUUGGGGUAAUAAAGAUAUAAUAUUUAUAUAAACUGUCUUUUUUUAAAAACAAAUAUAUUUGUGUAUAAAGAUCCUUCUUAAAGAUUAAAAGUUUAAGUUACUUUAGGGAUAACAGCGUAAUUUUUUUUGAGAGUUCCUAUCGAAAAAAAAGUUUGCGACCUCGAUGUUGAAUUAAAAUUUCUUCGUGGUGUAGAAGCUAUAUAAAGAAAGUCUGUUCGACUUUUAAAAUUUUACAUGAUUUGAGUUCAAACCGGCGUAAGCCAGGUUGGUUUCUAUCUA